GAUUUUAAAAUAAUUUUAUUUGCAUUAAAAUUUUGGAGUAACUCCUGGAAUCA
rnacentral:tRNA from 1 species